AGAGUUUGAUCCUGGCUCAGGAUGAACGCUAGCUACAGGCUUAACACAUGCAAGUCGAGGGGAAACGAUAGAGAAAGCUUGCUUUUUCUAGGCGUCGACCGGCGCACGGGUGAGUAACGCGUAUCCAACCUGCCCACCACUUGGGGAUAACCUUGCGAAAGUAAGACUAAUACCCAAUGAUAUCUCUAGAAGACAUCUGAAAGGGAUUAAAGAUUUAUCGGUGAUGGAUGGGGAUGCGUCUGAUUAGCUUGUUGGCGGGGUAACGGCCCACCAAGGCUACGAUCAGUAGGGGUUCUGAGAGGAAGGUCCCCCACAUUGGAACUGAGACACGGUCCAAACUCCUACGGGAGGCAGCAGUGAGGAAUAUUGGUCAAUGGACGAGAGUCUGAACCAGCCAAGUAGCGUGCAGGAUGACGGCCCUAUGGGUUGUAAACUGCUUUUAUAAGGGAAUAAAGUGAGUCUCGUGAGACUUUUUGCAUGUACCUUAUGAAUAAGGACCGGCUAAUUCCGUGCCAGCAGCCGCGGUAAUACGGAAGGUCCGGGCGUUAUCCGGAUUUAUUGGGUUUAAAGGGAGCGUAGGCCGGAGAUUAAGCGUGUUGUGAAAUGUAGACGCUCAACGUCUGCACUGCAGCGCGAACUGGUUUCCUUGAGUACGCACAAAGUGGGCGGAAUUCGUGGUGUAGCGGUGAAAUGCUUAGAUAUCACGAAGAACUCCGAUUGCGAAGGCAGCUCACUGGAGCGCAACUGACGCUGAAGCUCGAAAGUGCGGGUAUCGAACAGGAUUAGAUACCCUGGUAGUCCGCACGGUAAACGAUGGAUGCCCGCUGUUGGUCUGAAUAGGUCAGCGGCCAAGCGAAAGCAUUAAGCAUCCCACCUGGGGAGUACGCCGGCAACGGUGAAACUCAAAGGAAUUGACGG
rnacentral:rRNA from 1 species